AAUAAUAAUAAUAAUAAUAAUAAUAAUAAUAAUAAUUGCUUAGAGGUAGCGUAAAAUAAAUAGCCUCGAAAGUAAUAUACACACGUAGUUUAAAAGAAUAUAUGUAUUUAUGCCUUGAAAACGAAACCGAAAUUGAAAUAACUUCCACCGACGGGUGUCGCCGCGAUCGCUGCUGAGUCUCGCGGCGGGCCGCCGGGUGCACAUGUGUGUGUUCUCCGUGACAGUCUUGAAGUUGUGAGUAAUUAGAUUGUUUUUCGCUACGUUUAGGUUGCACCACCUCGUUGUUUUCGUGUACUUUUGUGCUCAUCGACGCGAAGGGAGCAUCCGGACUGAAGGCGACGCGAUUAUGCGUGAGAAAGAAAGGCAGUAGCGGCCUACGACAUCGGUGUUUCUUUGUGACGGUGUGUUUACUAUGCCUACGACGGCCGUCAUUCGUGGCCAACGAGAAAACAUCUUCCAUUCGGCCUGACCAGUGAUGAAGUGGACUUUUUUUUUCGGCGGAAUCCAUCGUCAACAUCGUCCAUCCACUACGUAAACGAAAUGGCGUGCCCAGAGUAUACAUCGUGACAGCGCUCCGCCUUCAAACCGAGGGCCUUUUGCAAGGCGCAUGGACGGCUCAUAUAAAAGUUAGUCAGCAUGAAGCAAUUGCAUGGGAACCGGCCGAUUGUCUUGGGCCUACACAUUGUUCAAAAGACAGUGAAGGUGUCUGAGCCGACAGGUAGAAAACAAGCAGAUGGCUACAGCGAUCAAUGAAGAAAUGGCUUCAUCUAUGAUGGCUCGCCUUAGGACAUUGGAAUGAAGCUACACAAAGGCAUCACCAGCCUCGCCUGUGCCCUGGAACAUUGGUUUGAAUAAAACUGUUCUUCAGUGUAGAACGACCACAAGACUUGUCACCACAUACAAGGCGUAGUGCAAGCUCUAAAUAUUGUACAGGUGGCUAGAAUAAAUGACCCUCCAUGCAGUCA
rnacentral:lncRNA from 1 species